GGUGGAUCUCGGUCAUAAUCCAGCGAAGACUAUCGUCGGAAUUGCCAUUAGCGUGGCGUUUAACGAUACGAAUGGAGGAGCAACAGCAACGCCGCGAUUCAUUUGGCAAAGGACGAGAUCGGAAGAAAAGGAAAGAUAGAACGCGUUACGUUGCGAAAUCCUCGACAACUUUUCGCAAAACUUAUUCAGAAUGUCCAUUUUCCAAACCACACACAAUAUGAAUUUUCGUUUGGAUGUAUUAUAGCUUAAUACGAACAGUUAUAUCCUAAAUGACGAAGAAUCCGGAAACCACGCGAGCCUUAACGAGUGUCAAUGUAUCGAAAGACAACGCGUUUCGAAUUACAGCUCGACGAGUCGCAUUUAACCACUGGUUCUCGCGAGUCUGUGGUCACCAGUCGUGAAUUACGAACGAGCUACAAGCAUGGGCAACCGGUUGCAUAGAUUCAGGGGCCAUCGACGCAGUACAGGCACGUGUGAGCGCUAAUGGUAACGAGAUUCGAUUCAACAGAGAGAAAAUAAAAUGAAUAGAGAAGCUCGUCGGAAGCAAGAGUACCGAAGCGUAAAAGUUCCGCAGAUCGUUUCGCUGCGUCUCUGAAGCCGAUUCUCGCAAUUAACAGGAAUGUUAUAUUAUAAAUAUUUGACCACGGACGCCAUUAAUUGAAGAAGGUCGUUGGAGACGUGAAGAGGGUCAGGUUAAACCCUUCAAUUUCCUCUUCUUUAAAGCCUCUUCGCUUCUCUACCUGUCGUCUUCUUCCAUUUUGUCGUUUCCUUUUUUCUCAAAUUGUACGAGGUUCAAGACGAUUCCUACGUCCGAGGGUCGUCAAGGAACUAGUUGGAAAGAAAAGAGGGUCAACAGUAAAACAUGAUAUCCGAUUGCCACGACGAAGAUUAACCUAGCCACGUCGCACCGUACCACUCGCCUCGAUGGUUCUUCCUUUGAGCGUUUCGAGCGGCCCUUAAACGCUCGGCCCUUUGUGUGUUCCGAAACCAACCAUACUUCCGACUCACCGUUGGUCCGUGUGCAAGAAUGACUAUUAUCGAAAUCUAUUUCGUUACGAUUGUGUGAUGUCACGUACCUGAUGAUAUGAAAUGAAUUUAUUUAUACUUGGUGCAAGUGAUAUACAGUGCCGUAAAUAAUUAGAAAAUUAAUCAGAAUAUCAAAAGAAAAAUUGACAGAGUCGUUUAUGUAACUUUAUAUUAUAAUAUGAAACAAAAUUGAA
rnacentral:misc_RNA from 1 species